rnacentral:rRNA from 1 species
GAUGAACGCUGGCGGCGUGCCUAAUACAUGCAAGUCGAGCGAACAGACGAGGAGCUUGCUCCUCUGACGUUAGCGGCGGACGGGUGAGUAACACGUGUAUAACCUACCUAUAAGACUGGGAUAACUUCGGGAAACCGGAGCUAAUACCGGAGAAUAUAUUGAACCGCAUGGGUCAAUAGUGAAAGACGGUUUUGCGGUCACGUAUAGAUGGAUCCGCGCCGGAUUAGCUAGUUGGUAAGGUAACGGCUUACUAAGGCAACGAUGCGUAGCCGACCGCAGGGGCUGGUCGGCCACCCUGGAACGGGGCCGCGGUCCAUGCUCCUACGGGACGCAGCAGUCGGGAAUCGUCCGCAGUGGGCGGAAGCCUGGCGGAGCAGCGCCGCGUCUAUGAUGACAGUCUUCCGAGCGUAAAGCUCUGUUAUUAGUGAGGAACAACUGUGUAAGUAACUAUGCCCGUCUUGACGGUACCUAGUCAGAAAGCCCCGGCUAACUACGUG